GCUGGGCAUGGUGGCACAUGUCUGUAAUCUCAGCUACCUGGGAGGCUAAGGUGGGCGGAUCACUUGAGCCCAGGAGGUUGAGGCUGCAGUGAGGAGUGGUCACUCCACUGCACUCUAGCCUGGGCAACAGAGUGAGAUCCUGUCUCAA
rnacentral:SRP_RNA from 1 species